CUAACACAUGCAAGUCGAACGGGUAACAGGAAACAGCUUGCUGUUUCGCUGACGAGUGGCGGACGGGUGAGUAAUGUCUGGGAAACUGCCUGAUGGAGGGGGAUAACUACUGGAAACGGUAGCUAAUACCGCAUAACGUCGCAAGACCAAAGAGGGGGACCCUCGGGCCUCUUGCCAUCGGAUGUGCCCAGAUGGGAUUAGCUUGUUGGUGGGGUAACGGCUCACCAAGGCGACGAUCCCUAGCUGGUCUGAGAGGAUGACCAGCCACACUGGAACUGAGACACGGUCCAGACUCCUACGGGAGGCAGCAGUGGGGAAUAUUGCACAAUGGGCGCAAGCCUGAUGCAGCCAUGCCGCGUGUAUGAAGAAGGCCUUCGGGUUGUAAAGUACUUUCAGCGGGGAGGAAGGGAGUAAAGUUAAUACCUUUGCUCAUUGACGUUACCCGCAGAAGAAGCACCGGCUAACUCCGUGCCAGCAGCCGCGGUAAUACGGAGGGUGCAAGCGUUAAUCGGAAUUACUGGGCGUAAAGCGCACGCAGGCGGUUUGUUAAGUCAGAUGUGAAAUCCCCGGGCUCAACCUGGGAACUGCAUCUGAUACUGGCAAGCUUGAGUCUCGUAGAGGGGGGUAGAAUUCCAGGUGUAGCGGUGAAAUGCGUAGAGAUCUGGAGGAAUACCGGUGGCGAAGGCGGCCCCUGGACGAAGACUGACGCUCAGGUGCGAAAGCGUGGGGAGCAAACAGG
rnacentral:rRNA from 1 species